CAGGAGCCGACCUACCAUCCCCAUGUUGAGCUUUCCAGCGUUUCUGGGGCCUCCUGUCUGGUUGCCGGGGAUGGAUGGCCCAGGGUUGGGGUGGUGAUCAGGGGAGGACAACUGGGGUGGGCUGGCUGAUGAUGUUCCACAGGAGCCCGUGCCCACGCUGUGGAACGAGCCGGCCGAGCUGCCGUCGGGAGAAGGCCCCGUGGAGAGCACCAGCCCCGGCCGGGAGCCCGUGGACACCGGUCCCCCAGCCCCCACCGUCGCGCCGGGACCCGAGGACAGCACCGCGCAGGAGCGGCUGGACCAGGGCGGCGGGUCGCUGGGGCCUGGCGCCAUCGCGGCCAUCGUGAUCGCCGCCCUGCUGGCCACCUGCGUGGUGCUGGCGCUCGUGGUCGUCGCGCUGAGAAAGUUUUCCGCCUCCUGAAGCGAAUAAAGGGGCCGCGCCCGGCCGCGGCGCGACUCGGCUGCA
rnacentral:sRNA from 1 species